CCUACGGGUGGCAGCAGUGGGGAAUAUUGCACAAUGGGGGGAACCCUGAUGCAGCAACGCCGCGUGGGUGAAGAAGUACUUCGGUAUGUAAAGCCCUGUCAGCAGGGAAGAAAAUGACGGUACCUGACCAAGAAGCCCCGGCUGACUACGUGCCAGCAGCCGCGGUAAGACUGAGGGGGCAAGCGUUAUCCGGAUUUACUGGGUGUAAAGGGAGCGUAGACGGCAAGGCAAGGCUGGAGUGAAAGCCCGUGGCUCAACCACGGGACUGCUUUGGAUCCUGUGUUGCUGGAGUGCUGGAGAGGUAAGCGGAAUUCCUAGUGAAGCGGUGAAAUGCGUAGAUAUUAGGAGGAACACCGGUGGCGAAGGCGGCUUACUGGACUGUAACUGACGUUGAGGCUCGAAGGCGUGGGGAGCAAACAGGAUUAGAUACCCCAGUAGUC
rnacentral:rRNA from 1 species